CCAUGCCCAGGAGAAAGGCCUCUGGUUUCUUCAAAAAGGUAUAUUUGAAUACCUUUUUCAUUUCAUUAUGAAUCAUCUCCCAAAGUGUCUUAAUCCUUGGGCAUGUCCCCCAAAGGUGAACUCUAAUCCUCAAAUUCGUCUGUUUUUCUUUAAGUUCAGUCAUAGCAAGCGUCAACUUAUAUUCAUCAAGUUGCUUCUGUAGGGCUGGGGCUCUCUUGCUCUUUCUCUCCAGUUGUGUUUCUCUCCAGUUGUGUGCAAUAACAGCUUUUUCCCUGGCCUCCUCCGCAGUUUGCCGUAUCGAAAUAGGUUCCUGUGUCAAUUUCUGGGUAGUUUCUAUAUUAGUAUUAUUUAUACUUUCUAUAUUUAAGUUAGUUUUAAUGAUUGAAACAUCCACUUUCGCAUUUAUCGUGUCCAUUUUCCUGUGAAGCUGAUCCAAUGAAUCAUUUAUCUUAAAUAAUGCAGCCACUAGAGCCUCUUCUGUCAACAUUUCUCUUGGUUUUACAUAUACUGGUACAAAGGCUGCAACAAAAAAAGCAGGGGGGCCUGAUGGUGAAGCUCUCCUGGAUUGUUGCCAAGUCCUCCCAGACCUUAAUGUUUUGUCAGCAGUUGACUGGUCUGUUUUUCCUCUUCCAUUAACCAUAACACUUAAAAGAUUCAAGGUCAGUUCCAGAGUCUCACGGUUUUUAACUUGCAGCUGGAAAUUUCCCUAACCCAACUCUUGUAAAGCAACCGGUUUCAAAGGCUUCCACUAGGGGGAAACAGUUUCUAUUUGUAAUAGUCAAUAGUAUCCUCUUUUAAACAAUCCAAAAAUUAGUUUCAAGUUAGUUUCAAUUUUCAGUUACUUUUACUCCUUUUUAAAGCAGCCGGAAACAGUAGAAACAAUGUAUUUCUCUUGUUUAACUAGCUGUCAAUGAACGUUCUAAACACUGUCAAUGAACAUUCCAAAAUACGUCAGUCCUACUAGCAGCCCGUUUCCAGGGUCAGAGCAGCGGUGUUUUAGAUCUCUUCGCUCUCUCCUGCAGGCAUAUUCAGUCCACAACUUCCCCCCCUCUUCUCCUGCCUCCAAAGGGGGGUUUUGUUCUUUACCGAUGGAAAUUUAAUCUUUUACAAAAGACUUUCCAGGACUCCAGCUUGCAACUUCAUUGCCUCAGUCUAUUUACAAAAGGGGAGGUGGACUUCCUGUUUUGAACCUCCCGCUUUGAUACCAAAUUAUACUUUUAAAAAUCCAAUUCUCCCGUUUCAGCUCUACUCACGGGUAAUUACUUUAAAGUCAAAUUGUCCACAGGAAAAAGUCAGCGCUCUCCGGCAACGGCUGUGCGGCUUCGCUCCGUGGAAGAAGCAGACGAUUCGAAGCACCGCGCCACUCACCCCACGUCGCUCCGGAGCCCCGAAAACGGGUUUCCCCGCGAGUAGGGGAGGCGCAGAAGGUGCCCGCUGAAUCCCAUGUUCACAGGCUUCUCCCGCCUGUGAUUUUUACGGGUCUCCGCCUUCGCCGUGUCGGCCAGACCCAAUUUCCCACGGGGCAAAUUCCUCCCAGUCAGAGGAAUUCCGCCAUUGCCGAUGGCGCCACCCGGAAGUAAUAUUUGGAAGACAUAGGCAUCUGCCCAUGGAUACUCUAGAUGUGAAGGUUGGAGCAGUGAGAAUCUCUCAUGUUGCUGUCCUCCACACCUCCCUUGGAGGAGGCAAGAAGUGCCUCAGAUGAUGAAUGCAGAGGUUGGUUCAUGUGGAGAAGACAGUCCUUGGGGUAUUUGGGUCCUGAACCACAUAAGAGUUCAGAAAUCAAAACUAGCACUUUGAAUUGGGCCCAGAAACUAAUUGGCAGCCAAUGCAAUUGCACCAAGAUGUUCAGACCAUCUUGCCCUGGUCAGCAGUGUGACCACUGAAUUCUGUACCAAAGACAGUUUCCAAACCAUCUUUAAAGGAAGCCCCAUGUAUACCAUAUAGAAAAAAGACAGCCACAGAACCAAGAAAUUACACAAAACAAAUGAAAUUCAGUGAAAAUCCCUGAAACGAGAAGUAAUCGACUAUAGAAUUAAACUAAAUAACAAAAAUCAAAAAGUUCAGUGAAACGAGGUUUGUAGCCGGCAUCCCGUUAAGGCUUUGUUCAAUUCUAGGUUAAUUUUUUCCUUAAACUUUUUAUUUUUGUUAUUUAGUUUAAUUCUAUAGUCGAUUAUUUCUCGUUUCAGGGAUUUUCACGGCAUUUCAUUUGUUUUGUGUAAUUCUAUGUAUACCAUAUGGCAGUAAUCGUACCUAAAGGUCACCAGAGCAUAGACACCAGAUGUUUUGCUGUCCCCACUGAAUGUCCAGCAACAUCUGGACAUCCACAGGUUCUCCAUUCUUGAUCUAACUCAUCAUUUUUAUUUUCAAGUAUAUUGGCAGUAUCUCUACUCCAUGCAUCUGGGCAGGUCUGAGACACUUGGCUGCCUGAGGUGGACAGAGUAGCACCACCACUCAAUUCCAUGUAAAAAAAGUUAACAAGACUGGUAUGAUAGCUUAGAGGAUGAAGGUGUUGGAGGCCAUGGCUAACCUGCCCAUGCAUUUGCCACCUGAGACCGUCUAAUGUAGAGUGGCCAUGUGACCUACUUUACUGAUGGCAGCCCUGUAUCUGAAUAGCUAUUGAUCCCCUGUUCAAAGGGCUGUCCAGUUCAAGAAAGAUGUAAAUGAUUAAGAAUGAUUAAGAAACAUAAGAAGGGAGAGCAGGAGCCUUGAAGUUUCCCAUGAACAGCAAACAUGUAUACAGUGGACUCAACAGGUGCAUAGGUAACCUGGUAACAGCCUUACCUACUAUGGUGAGAUGUGCUGUAUUUUCAUUGAAAUUAAUGCAAUUAUUUCUAAAUCUGUGCUCGCUCGCUCUAUAAAUCUUUAUGCAAAUCAGAGUCUUCUUUCAUCCUCUUUUUUUGCUGAGUAUUUGCAUAAGUGGCUGGCUACUGUAACCUAUUGUGCCACCACGUUGGCUGGUUAAGGAUUCCUGGGAGUGGAGGUGAGAGGCACCAAGGGGAGGGUCUUUUCAGAGGCAUUCUUAUUCCUUGUGUAACAUGAUGCUCAGUUGUUAUUCUCAGGUGAAAAGAGGGCAAGCAGGAGUGCUUCCCACUGACCCUGGUACCCCAGGACACCUCACUUUGAAAUCAUUAUACAACUUUGAAUUCAUUUUGUCCUUGUGGAAAUAAAUCGAGGUGAAGUAGUUAUCUUGGGCUACUAUAUAAACAAAUCCUUAAUGAGUGCUUUCUUCUGCCUCCGCCCACAACUCCACUGCUAAUAUCAUUUUAAUUUAUCUUUCCCUACCCAAAUGAGACAAGUGUGAUGAUGACCGACAGCAUAGAAUGACAAGUAGAGGUGCAAGGACAAGAGACUGGAAAUCACACAGCUUGCUUGCAACUUGUCAGGAGAAUGAAGCCUGUUGCAGUUUUGACACUGAAAGGCAAGCUGAUAUUUCUGAGAUAUGUUUUCGUUUUAAUAAGGCAAUGCCACACACACACAUGACAAGGAGGGAGGAGAAGCAGAGGACUUGGGAAUUAACAUUGCUCCUGCUUAUUCUAAUAGCAUACCAGUACUUUUAGGAGUGUCUCAGAGCUUAAAGGGUGAAAGGUGAAGUUAUCUUUCAAGAACAGGGCUAACGGUACAAAGCUACUUAAUGCAGGCGAGGAAUAAUGCAGGCCCAUCAAUUUACCCGGACAAUGUUGUACAUGGGUUGGUUUCACACUGUGUGCCUUGGAUUGUAGUGUUUCCCCAUUGAUUGGGGGGGUUUAGCCUCCCUCUUUUUCUGCUCUUUCUUUUCUUUUCCUUUUCUUUCCUCUUUCUCCUCCCUCAGCUCAGCACAGCCAAUUAUAAUAUUGGGUAUAGUGUUUAUAUAUAUAUAUAUAUAUAUAUAUAUAUAUAUAUAUAUAUUCAUUCCCUGGUGCUGUAUGGGGUUCCCUUGUAUUGCUAGGAUAAGAGCGAAGCUGCUGCUGACAAUGGUGGCUUAUGUUGUACUGCUUCCCUCUAAGCCUCUGGAGUGGCAGUGUGAAUUUAUGAAGCUCAGUGCUUGCCUUUCUCUUCCCUUCUCUUUUUUAAAAUUUUUAUUUUAAGUCUUUUCAUUUCCCGAGAAGCUGUGCCAUGCACAGGAGAGAGUGAGCAAUUGCUUCCAGAAAGGCUUUUGUAUAUGAAGAGAGAAACUCUGCAAAUCCUUCUGCAUUUACCAUCUUUUCCCAUUUAAAGUAUAUCACAAUGCAGAGAUUCCUUGUUAGCGUUUGGAGUCCUUUCUCUUUCUUCCUGCUCCAGGUUCAUUAUCUUUUGCAGGCUAUUACAGUGGCUCUCAAAGGGUGUGGCGCACCACACGGGUGUGGGCAGGAGCGGAAGGC
rnacentral:lncRNA from 1 species